rnacentral:rRNA from 1 species
GGGUUGUGAGGUUAAGCGACUAAGCGUACACGGUGGAUGCCCUGGCAGUCAGAGGCGAUGAAGGACGUGCUAAUCUGCGAUGGCGGUCUUGGUAGGGGCAAUGGUAUUCUAUUGCGGCGAUUUCAGAUGACCCAGUGUGUUUCGACGCACUAUCGUAUUACCAUAGGUUAAUGGGGCGAACCGGGGAACUGAAACAUCUAAGUACCCCGAGGAAAAGAAAUCAGCGAAGUUUUACUGGUAACUGGCGAGCGAACGGAGAACAGCGAAACCUGAAUCAGUGUGUGUUGGUGGAGAAGCGUCUGAGCGCGCGAUACGAGUGAGCAGCCCGUACACAAAAUACACAUGCUGUGAGCUCGAUGGUAGGCGGGACGUGGUAUCCUAAUGUCUGAAUAUGGGGGACCAUCACUCCAAGGCUAAAUACUCCUGACACUGACCGAUAGUGAACCAGUACCGUGAGGGAAAGGCGAAAAGAACCCCGGCGAGGGGAGUGAAAAAGAACCUGAAACCGUGUACGUACAAGCAGUGGGAGCCUCUUUUAUGGGGUGACUGCGUACCUUUUGUAUAAUGGGUCAGCGACUUAUAUUCUGUAGCAAGGUUAACCGAAUAGGGGAGCCGAAGGGAAACCGAGUCUUAACUGGGCGUUAAGUUGCAGGGUAUAGACCCGAAACCCGGUGAUCUAGCCAUGGGCAGGUUGAAGGUUGGAACACUAACUGGAGGACCGAACCGACUAAUGUUGAAAAAUUAGCGGAUGACUUGUGGCUGGGGUGAAAGGUAAUCAAACCGGGAGAUAGCUGGUUCUCCCCGAAAGCUAUUUAGGUAGCGCCUCGUGAAUUCAUCUCCGGGGGUAGAGCACUGUUUCGGCAAGGGGGUCAUCCCGACUUACCAACCCGAUGCAAACUGCGAAUACCGGAGAAUGUUAUCACGGGAGACACACGGCGGGUGCUAACGUCCGUCGUGAAGAGGGAAACAACCCAGACCGCCAGCGCUGAGUUGGCAAGUCAUGGUUAAGUGGGAAACGAUGUGGGAAGGCCCAGACAGCCAGGAUGUUGGCUUAGAAGCAGCCAUCAUUUAAAGAAAGCGUAAUAGCUCACUGGUCGAGUCGGCCUGCGCGGAAGAUGUAACGGGGCUAAACCAUGCACCGAAGCUGCGGCAGCGACGCUUAUGCGUUGUUGGGUAGGGGAGCGUUCUGUAAGCCUGCGAAGGUGUACUGUGAGGUAUGCUGGAGGUAUCAGAAGUGCGAAUGCUGACAUAAGUAACGAUAAAGCGGGUGAAAAGCCCGCUCGCCGGAAGACCAAGGGUUCCUGUCCAACGUUAAUCGGGGCAGGGUGAGUCGACCUAAGGCGAGGCCGAAAGGCGUAGUCGAUGGGAAACAGGUACUUGGUGUUACUGCGAAGGGGACGGAGAGCUAUGUUGGCCGGGCGACGGUUGUCCCGGUUCCGUGUGGAAAGGCUGGUUUUUCGAACGGAAAUCCGGAAAAUCAGGCUGAGCGUGAUGACGGGGCACUACGGUGCUGGGCGCAACAAAUUACUUAUGCUUCGGAAAACCUCUAAGCAUCAGGUAACAUCAAAUCGUACCCCAAACCGACACAGGUGGUCAGGUAGAGAAUACCAAGGCGCUUGAGAGAACUCGGGUGAAGGAACUAGGCAAAAUGGUGCCGUAACUUCGGGAGAAGGCACGCUGAUAUGUAGGUGAAGUCCCUCGCGGAUGGAGCUGAAAUCAGUCGAAGAUACCAGCUGGCUGCAACUGUUUAUUAAAAACACAGCACUGUGCAAACACGAAAGUGGACGUAUACGGUGUGACGCCUGCCCGGUGCCGGAAGGUUAAUUGAUGGGGUUAGCGCAAGCGAAGCUCUUGAUCGAAGCCCCGGUAAACGGCGGCCGUAACUAUAACGGUCCUAAGGUAGCGAAAUUCCUUGUCGGGUAAGUUCCGACCUGCACGAAUGGCGUAAUGAUGGCCAGGCUGUCUCCACCCGAGACUCAGUGAAAUUGAACUCGCUGUGAAGAUGCAGUGUACCCGCGCAGCAGACGGAAGAGACCCGUGAACCUUUACUGCCAACGACACUGAACAUUGAGCCUUGAUGUGUAGGAUAGGUGGGAGGCUUAGAAGUGUGGACGCCAGUCUGCAUGGAGCAGCCGACCUUGAAAUACCACCCUUUAAUGUUUGAUGUUCUAACGUUGACCCGUAAUCCGGGUUGCGGACAGUGUCACCAGGUGGAAGUGGCUAGGGCGGUCUCCUCUCCUAGGUAACGGAGCACGAAGGUUGGCUAAUCGGUCGGACAUCAGGAGGUUAGUGCAAUGGCAUAAUAGCGACUGCAGCGUGACAGCGCGCGAGCGGAACGGGUAUAACGAAAAUUGAUCGGUAGUUCUGGAAUGGAAGGGCCGUAAACUCAGCAAUCAAAAGGUACUCCAGGGAUAUUAACAGUACCACUUAAAGAGUUCAUAUCCGGCAGCGGUGUUUGGCACCUCGAUAAGCUCAUCAUCCUAUAUGGGGGCGGUCCCAAAGUAUGGCUGUUCGCCAUUUAAAAUUAAUGGUACGCAGGCGGGUUUAGAACGCGUCGUGAGACAGUUCGGUCCCCAUCUUGGGCACUUUGGAGAGGAGGGGCUGCUCCCUAGGCUGCGAGGACCAGGUGGACGCAUCAAGAAGGUGUUCAUGAUAGCGCUGCCAGUAGCUACGGAAGAGAUAAGUGCUGAAAGCAUCUAAGCACGAAACUUGCCCCGAGAUGAGUUCUCCCUGACUCCUUGAGAGUCCUGAAGGAACGUUGAAGACGACGACGUUGAUAGGCCGGGUGUGUAAGCGCAGCGAUGCGUUGAGCUAACCGGUACUAAUGAACCGUGAGGCUUAACCUUACAACGCCGAAG